rnacentral:rRNA from 1 species
CGAUGCGCGCUAUCUGCAGUCGAGCGGACAGAAGGGAGCUUGCUCCCGGAUGUUAGCGGCGGACGGGUGAGUAACACGUGGGUAACCUGCCUGUAAGACUGGGAUAACUCCGGGAAACCGGAGCUAAUACCGGAUAGUUCCUUGAACCGCAUGGUUCAAGGAUGAAAGACGGUUUCGGCUGUCACUUACAGAUGGACCCGCGGCGCAUUAGCUAGUUGGUGAGGUAACGGCUCACCAAGGCGACGAUGCGUAGCCGACCUGAGAGGGUGAUCGGCCACACUGGGACUGAGACACGGCCCAGACUCCUACGGGAGGCAGCAGUAGGGAAUCUUCCGCAAUGGACGAAAGUCUGACGGAGCAACGCCGCGUGAGUGAUGAAGGUUUUCGGAUCGUAAAGCUCUGUUGUUAGGGAAGAACAAGUGCAAGAGUAACUGCUUGCACCUUGACGGUACCUAACCAGAAAGCCACGGCUAACUACGUGCCAGCAGCCGCGGUAAUACGUAGGUGGCAAGCGUUGUCCGGAAUUAUUGGGCGUAAAGGGCUCGCAGGCGGUUUCUUAAGUCUGAUGUGAAAGCCCCCGGCUCAACCGGGGAGGGUCAUUGGAAACUGGGAAACUUGAGUGCAGAAGAGGAGAGUGGAAUUCCACGUGUAGCGGUGAAAUGCGUAGAGAUGUGGAGGAACACCAGUGGCGAAGGCGACUCUCUGGUCUGUAACUGACGCUGAGGAGCGAAAGCGUGGGGAGCGAACAGGAUUAGAUACCCUGGUAGUCCACGCCGUAAACGAUGAGUGCUAAGUGUUAGGGGGUUUCCGCCCCUUAGUGCUGCAGCUAACGCAUUAAGCACUCCGC